rnacentral:rRNA from 1 species
CUAAGUUUGAUGGCGACCGGCGCACGGGUGAGUAACACGUAUCCAACCUGCCGAUGACUCGGGGAUAGCCUUUCGAAAGAAAGAUUAAUACCCGAUGGCAUAGUUCUUCCGCAUGGUAGAACUACUAAAGAAUUUCGGUCAUCGAUGGGGAUGCGUUCCAUUAGGUUGUUGGCGGGGUAACGGCCCACCAAGCCUUCGAUGGAUAGGGGUUCUGAGAGGAAGGUCCCCCACAUUGGAACUGAGACACGGUCCAAACUCCUACGGGAGGCAGCAUG